rnacentral:lncRNA from 1 species
GGGUGCAGAUGUAGGCCCAUAGUACCCUGUCCCUGAAGUUCUGCUGCUUUUGAGGCCUGUGCUCUCCUGAGCAGACCUGCCUUAGAGAGUCACCAGAGAGAAAAUGGCAAUCUCACCUGAGUUCCAGGGUCAGACACCUCCUCAUUUUCUUCAUUUCUUUCUCAUGUUAUCUUUUUCCUAUCAAAGAACUUUUUGAGAAUUAGUAAAGAACAAUUCCUGUCUUGUGAUAGGAUAAAUAGUUAUCCUUUCCAUGGGUUGGUGAUUUAUCCUUAAUUAGAAGUUCUAGGACACAGGAUAUGGGGUAGAAAUAAAAUUCAAUAACCUGACAUCUCCAAAGACCCCAGGAAGCUCCCCACACUAUUCAGUAUGCAAGGGGUCAUGUUUCAGACUUCUUGAAUUUGCAUAUAUUGGCUAAUUGUAUAUCUUCCAUUGGCAGAACCAAUCCAGGUUUCCAUACUUGUAACUGUUAAUUAAAUCUAUAAAGGGCUGGGUAGUUAAUCUUUUAGGCAUUGCAAUCCAUUAGUAGUCUCAGUUUCAACUAUUCAACUUUGUCUUUGUCAUGCAAAAGUAGUUAUAGAUAGUAUAUAAAUGAGUAGGAGUAGCUAAAUGGUUUCUGCCAUAAAACUUUACAUAAGUAAGUAGACAAGAAAUGGGCUUCAGAGUGGCAAUUUCUUAUCCCCUAAUAUAUAGUGUCCCAUGAAUUUGGUGUCCACUAAUUUAGCAACUCUUACAUGUCUAUUUCAUAAUAUAGGGUUGUGUUUCUUUAUAGAAUGGAAGGCAGGGAACUCAUUCUGUGUGUGAAUACCACCUUUUUCAUGCAUGAGCAUACUCCCACUAUUCCCCUUAUUAUAGACUUGCAUUCAGUCAUUUCCUCCUUGAUGAAUUUUUGAAACAUCUUGACUUUGGAACCUCUUGGAAAAUGACCAUCAAAUUCUUCUUUUAUAUUCUUGAUUUAUAUUUGACACCUAAUAUUUUAGUUUGUUUUUCCCUCAUGCAUUGCCACAUGUGAAUGUCAUCCUUCUUAAAAAGUAUCCUUUGCAUACUCAGCUAAGAUCUUUUUGCAAGCAUAAUUUAGUACAGACUGCAUUUACAGUCAGAAACAAACAAACAAACAAACAAACAAACAAACAAAAAACCAAGUACAAGCUAAUUCCCUCUGAUGAGGCUCCAUAUCUGCCUGGCUUCUGGAUUAGAUAGGACAUUGUACCAAAAAGCGAUCUUUUAUAUGUAAUGUAUAAUCUUGUGAUUAGACCUGG